rnacentral:rRNA from 1 species
GACGAACGCUGGCGGCGAGCUUAACACAUGCCAGUCGAACGGAAAGGCCCUGCUUUUGUGGGGUGCUCGAGUGGCGAACGGGUGAGUAACACGUGAGUAACCUGCCCUUGACUUUGGGAUAACUUCAGGAAACUGGGGCUAAUACCGGAUAGGAGCUCCUGCUGCAUGGUGGGGGUUGGAAAGUUUCGGCGGUUGGGGAUGGACUCGCGGCUUAUCAGCUUGUUGGUGGGGUAGUGGCUUACCAAGGCUUUGACGGGUAGCCGGCCUGAGAGGGUGACCGGCCACAUUGGGACUGAGAUACGGCCCAGACUCCUACGGGAGGCAGCAGUGGGGAAUAUUGCACAAUGGGCGGAAGCCUGAUGCAGCAACGCCGCGUGCGGGAUGACGGCCUUCGGGUUGUAAACCGCUUUCGCCUGUGACGAAGCGUGAGUGACGGUAAUGGGUAAAGAAGCACCGGCUAACUACGUG